GUCGGGGUAUUUUAAACAAAAAAGCAAAGCUUGCAUCUUUGAAUUGGGCAAUAUAUUGCCCCUUCGACA
rnacentral:tRNA from 1 species